UACAGAGGGGGCAAGCGUUGUUCGGAUUUACUGGGCGUAAAGGGCGCGUAGGCGGUCAGCACAAGUCAGUUGUGAAAUCUCCGGGCUUAACUCGGAAAGGUCAACUGAUACUGUGCGACUAGAGUGCAGAAGGGGCAACUGGAAUUCUCGGUGUAGCGGUGAAAUGCGUAGAUAUCGAGAGGAACACCUGCGGCGAAGGCGGGUUGCUGGGCUGACACUGACGCUGAUGCGCGAAAGCUAGGGGAGCGAACGGG
rnacentral:rRNA from 1 species